rnacentral:tRNA from 1 species
GUAGGUGUGGCUCAGAGGUAGAGCACUCGCCUGGCACAUGCGAGGUGCUGGGUUCGAUCCUCAGUACCACA